rnacentral:rRNA from 1 species
UACAGAGGUCUCGAGCGUUAGGCGGAAUCACUGGGCUUAAAGCGUGUGUAGGCGGAUCGUUAAGUACCUUGUGAAAUCCCACGGCUUAACCGUGGAACUGCUUGGUAUACUGGCGGUCUUGAGCCAGCUAGGGGCUACCGGAACAAAUGGUGGAGCGGUGAAAUGCGUAGAUAUCAUUUGGAACGCCAAAGGUGAAAACAGACAGCUGGGGAUGUGCUGACGCUGAGACACGAAAGCCAGGGGAGCGAACGGG